CCAAUAGCGUAUAUUAAAGUUGUUGCAGUUAAAAAGCUCGUAGUUGAAUUUCGGGGUCAGUAGGUUGGUCGUGCCACUGGUACGUACUGGUCUCACUGAUUCCUCCUUCCUGAUGAACCGUAAUGCCAUUAAUUUGGUGUUGCGGGGAAACUGGACUGUUACUUUGAAAAAAUUAGAGUGUUUAAAGCAGGCUAACGCUUGAAUACAUUAGCAUGGAAUAAUGAAAUAGGACGUUCGAUCCUAUUUUGUUGGUUUCUAGGAUUGACGUAAUGAUUAAUAGGGAUAGUUGGGGGCAUUAGUAUUCAAUUGUCAGAGGUGAAAUUCUUGGAUUUAUUGAAGACUAACUACUGCGAAAGCAUUUGCCAAGGAUGUUUUCAUUAAUCAAGAACGAAAGUUAGGGGAUCGAAGACGAUCAGAUACCGUCGUAGUCUUAACCAUAAACUAUGCCGACUAGGGAUUGGAUAAUGUUAAUUUUUUAAUGACUCAUUCGGCGCCUUACG
rnacentral:rRNA from 1 species